UUUGUACUUUCCCUUCCCUCCCCUUCUCCUCCUCCUCUUCCUCUUCUGUUUCUUUCUGCUCUUUUUCCUUCUCCCUUUUCCUCCUCCUCUUCCUCUUCCUUCAAUUCCUCUUCCUUUCCCUUCCCUCCCCUUUCUCCCUUUUCCUCCUCCUCUUCCUUAUUCCUUCCUCCUCCUUCUCCCUUUUCUUCCUCCUCCUCCUCUUCAACUUCCUCCUCCUCCUCCUAUUCCUUAUUCCUCCCUCCCCCAUCUCCCUUCUCCUCCUCCUCUUCCUCUUCUGUUUCUUCCUUCUCCCUUUUCCUCCUCCUCUUCCUCUUCUUCCUUAAAUUCCUCUUCCUUUCCCUUCCCUCCCCUUUCUCCCUUUUCCUCCUCCUCCUCCUCCUCCCCACCUCUUUAUCUCUCCCUCCCUUCCUUCCAUCUCCUCCUCCUCCUCUUCCUAUCAACUUGUUUCCAAUGACAUUUAAAAGGUCACCGUCAAGGGUCAUAGCCAUAUUUUUAAGCCCUGAACGGGAAGAAACACAAAGGACUUCAAAGGUGUUUCCGUUCGUCGAGUUCCGUUGGUUCGACAGUGAUUUUGAUUAUGCCGCGUUUACGUUCGUGUAGUACCGUCAUCGUCGCGUCUUCCAGUCUCUUGUAACAUUAGAAGGACCAGAGUCAUCGCCGGCUGUUGUCUUGUCCCUUGAGCCCCACCCCACCUUCUUACCCUCCCUCUCUCUCUCUAUGCUAACAUUAAACUCCCUUCCAACUUCCUCACUUGGCUCAGAUUGUGUUGUCCCUUGAGCCCCACCCCACCUUCUUACCCUCUCCCUCUCUCUCUCUCUCUAUGCUAACAUUAAACUCACUUCCAACUUCCUCACUUGGCUCAGAUUGUGUUGUCCCUUGAGCCCCACCCCACCUUCUUACCCUCACCCUCUCCCUUUCUCUCUCUACACUAACAUGAACCUCACAUCCAACUUCUUCAUUCAGCCCAAAUCGCCUUGUCCGUAUAAUAAAACCACUAAUAUUUUGACCCGGGUAGUUCAGGGUGUUGUGUGAGCUUGCAAUGAUGGGAGAGACUCUUACAUUGAAUAAGCCUGAGUCUGUAUAUUCAUUGGUAAGUAAACGACGUGUGUGUGUGCGGACAUGAUACAAGACUGGCCAUAGAAUCAAACACCAUAGAAUUUGCAUUGCCAGCUAUAGAAUCAAUGUUGUCUGUAGCCUUGAACUAGCAUCACCCACGACACCAGACAGAGGACCAGGUGGAGAGGUGGAGUUAGGGCAUUAGAAGGGGCAGGAUGAAGCACACUAACUCCAGACAGAGAACCAGGUGGAGAGAUGGAAUUAGAACCUUUACCGGGGCAGGAUGGAGCACACUAACACCAGACAGAGGACCAGGUGGAGAGAUGGAAUUAGAACCUUUGCCGGGGCAGGAUGGAGCACACUAACACCAGACAGAGAACCAGGUGAAGAGAUGGAAUUAGAACCUUUGCCGGGGCAGGAUGGAGCACACUAACACCAGACAGAGAACCAGGUGGAGAGAUGGAAUUAGAACCUUUGCCGGGGCAGGAUGGAGCACACUAACACCAGACAGAGAACCAGGUGGAGAGAUGGAAUUAUAACCUUUGCCAGAGCAGGAUGGAGCACACUAACACCAGACAGAGAACCAGGUGGAGAGAUGGAAUUAUAACCUUUGCCAGAGCAGGAUGGAGCACACUAACACCAGACAGAGAACCAGGUGGAGAGAUGUAAUUAGAACCUUUGCCGGGGCAGGAUGGAGCACACUAACACCAGACAGAGAACCAGGUGGAGAGAUGGAAUUAGAACCUUUACCAGGGCAGGAUUGAGCACGCUAACACCAGUAACAACUUACACUAACUCCAGGCAAAUAUACCUUAUGGAUGUGGGUGUGUUCAUGGGUCAAAUCAUCUAUGUAUAAAAAAAAAUCACUAGUAUUUUGAGCUGAAUGUUGAAUGUUAUGGUUAUGUCAUGAUUCAAAUUGACGUCUGUAUAAAAAAACAACACAUAUCUUAGACUCAAUUUUUCUUAAGGAUGUUCAUGGUUCAGAUUGUCUUCUUAUGCAGGAUAGAUUUUCACGGCUGUCACUCUGUGUUGUGUUCUGUGGUCGAGUUUAGUUUUCCUUUUUUUCAUCUUCCUCUUUCUCCUCUUCUUCUUUCUCUUCCUCCUCUUCUUUUCCUUCUCCUCUUCUUCUUUCUCUUCCUCCUCUUCCUUCUCUUCUUUUCCUUCUCCUCUUUCUCCUCUUCUUUUUUCUCUUCCUCCUCCUCCUGCUCCAUUUUCCUCCUCCUCUUCUUCUCCUCCUCUUCCUCCUCCUCUUCUUUUCCUUCUCCCUCCUUUUCCUCCACUUCUUUCUCUUCCUCCUCCUCCUUCUCCAUUCUCCUCCUCCUCUUCUUUUCCUCCACUUCUUCUUUCUCUUCCUCCUCCUCCUUCUCCAUUCUCCUCCUCCUCUUUCUCCUCCUCUACUUCUUUCUCUUCCUCCUCCUCCUCCUCCUCCUUCUCCAUUCUCCUCCUCCUCUUCUUUUCCUCCUCUUUCUCCUCCUCUACUUCUUUCUCUUCCUCCUCCUCCUCCUCCUUCUCCAUUCUCCUCCUCCUCUUCUUUUCCUCCUCUUUCUCUUCCUCCUCCAUUUUCCUCCUCCUCUUCUUUUCCUUCUCCCUCCUUUUCCUCCUCUUCUUCUUUCUCUUCUUCCUCCUCCUCCUUCUCCAUUUUCCUCCUCCUUCUCCAUUUUUCUCCUCCUCUUCUUUUCCUUCUCCCUCCUUUUCCUCCACUUCUUUCUCUUCCUCCUCCUCCUCUUUUUUUCCUCCUCCCUCCUUUUCCUCCUCAGUGACCUCAGGGUAGGGGCAUGGGCUGAGGGGGACAAGUUCGCUGGUGGUGGUGCCUCUGGGAAACAGUUCUAAUGCAUGUUCCUAAUGUCAUACAAAUACAUAUCAUUGUUACUAA